rnacentral:misc_RNA from 1 species
AACUUUCAGCAAUGGAUCUCUUGGCUCUCGCAUCGAUGAAGAACGCAGCGAAAUGCGAUAAGUAAUGUGAAUUGCAGAAUUCAGUGGAUCAUCGAAUUCUUUAACGCAACUUGCAGCCAUUGGUAUUCCAAAGGGUAAGGUCGUUUGGGUGUCAUUGUACUCUUACACUCUAAUGAUGGCGAAGCGGACUUGGGUGUUGCUUCGUUGCUGUGGCUCAUCUAAAAUAUGAUAUUGCAACUCAUGGAUGGAAAUACAACAGCGUGAUAAGGGACUUCGCUGGCACCACCUGAAGAGGGUGUCCGAUGAGCAGCUCAGUGCGUCAAUCCGUCCGAUCUGACACAACAUCUGCCAACUUGGCCUCAAAUCGAGUAGGACUACCCGCUGAACUUAAGCAUAUCAAUAAGCGGAGGCU